CCUGGGGAGUACGGUCGCAAGAUUAAAACUCAAAGGAAUUGACGGGGACCCGCACAAGCGGUGGAUGAUGUGGAUUAAUUCGAUGCAACGCGAAAAACCUUACCUACCCUUGACAUGGCUGGAAUCCUUGAGAGAUUGGGGAGUGCUCGAAAGAGAACCAGUACACAGGUGCUGCAUGGCUGUCGUCAGCUCGUGUCGUGAGAUGUUGGGUUAAGUCCCGCAACGAGCGCAACCCUUGUCAUUAGUUGCUACGAAAGGGCACUCUA
rnacentral:rRNA from 1 species